rnacentral:lncRNA from 1 species
AAAAAAAGGUCAUACAUGUAGGACAAACUGAUUCAAUAAAUUCAAUAAGCAUUAAUUAAGUACUUACUAUGUGCAAGACUGUAAGAUUCAGUGGACGUGGGGCCAGAUCUGGAGCCAAGGCUACCAAGUUUUGGUUCUUCUAACUCUGGCUGGGCACUCUAGGACAAGUCACUUAGCUCAAACAUUCUAAAUUGCAGGACAGAAGCCAAUCUGCAUAAGCUUCCUCUUUGGAAACUCCCUACUCUUUGGACCCAAGAAAGGUGUAAAACACUGCUUUAGGGUGGGGGCAGGGGGCUAUAAAGAUAAAAACCAAAACAGCUCCGGCCUUUAAAGAGAUUCCAUUCUACUGAGGUGGAGCUAGGGGAGGUUAAAGAGAAGAGAGAUGCUGUGUAAACAAAUGCCAGGUCCCAAAUAAGGAAAAGCCUUUACUUAUACCUUCCAAAGGCCCUUUGGGGAAGUUGGAGAAGAGGAGUAGACUUUCUGAGCUUCCUGUUCCUGGAUCAGAUUCCUCUAACUCACUAGGGAAAUGCAAGGUCCAAGAAGAAAGACUUCUGGAGGCUGAGACAGAAGACAGAGCUGGAAGGAAACAAACAAUUGGUGGGAAGGAAUAGUGGGCCUGAGACCUGGCUGGGCUUAUACCCUUGAAAUAAAUACUUAGCAGAGCUGUACCACACAGGAAAAACACAAAGUGGAAUUCUCAUGGGCAUUGUGCUAGAGUUGGAUGCAGGAAUGAGAGGAAAUCCUAGUCUCUAGAAUAGACAAAGCAUCUAUGGGAACGUUCUUCCACCCCUGAGAAAAAACAUCACUUGGAGGGAGGGUUAGGGUAUAGAUUGGGUUGAGGUAGCAAGAGAUGGGGGAUACAACAGAAAUUCUGUUAGAGAAGCUGAGACAAAUAACCAAUACCCCGCUUGGCCUCUUGGCUGCUUCGAGCCAUCUGCUGGGAGCUGAGAAGAACUUCAGGAAGAGUGACUGUACAACACAACGUGGAGACACCUGCAUCCAUCGCAUACUAUGGGUGGUUGAACUUAUUGGUUCACAGAUAAUCAUCCAGCCUCUGCAUAAAAUACGUUGUAUGAAAUCACCUGCACCGGACAAAAAGUAAAUAUUUUUCCUGGAAAUCACCAUGAGGGUCAUUGCACAAUUUGGAACCUGGCAAGAGUAUCUACAGGAAGAAAUACCUCUGCAAAUCUGCCUUAGAAACAAGGUGGGAGUGUCUAUCCAUCUCAGCUACUAUUAACAACUGACACUGAAGUUAAAACUCCAAGAUG